ensembl:lncRNA
ACAUGAAUUAACCAUAGCUAUACAUUUGUCUCCUUCCUCUUGAAUCUCCCUCCCACCUCCUGCCUAUUCCCACUACUCUAGGUUAUUACAGAGUCCUAGUUUGAGUUCUCCAAGUCAUACAGAAAAUUCCCGUUGACUAUCUAUUUACGUAUGUAGUCAUGAACAGAGGAGCUUGGCAGGCUAUGGUCCAUAGGGUUGAAAAGAGUCAGACACAACUGAAGCAGCUUAGCACAGCACAUGGUUAAAAUGGUCCUUUAAAAAAUAAUCAUGGAGUUUCAGCAGAAGUAAUACACUAAUACAGUAGGUUUCAGAUACCCCACGUUAAAAAGUGAGAUGUGAACCACCUGUGCAGAAUGCAUGACCUGAUACAGAAACGGGUCAGCGUGACCACACCUGGUGAGCAUUGGAGAGAUGAGAACAUUGAAAAGGUGAGUUGCUUCUCACCUACUAAAGUGAGACAAGGAAUUUCAGAAGAUCUUCUUGGAGGACUUGAUAUUUAUCCCCUGGAGUCUGCUGAACUCAGAGUGGAGGCCUGUUUCUUUCCAGGAGAAAUCCUGAGGAAAAAAAAAAAAAGAAAGAAACCAGUUCUUGGAAUCCAGCCACCACGCUGAGAGGAAGCCUGAGCAGCCGUGUGGAGAGGAACUAAGGUCCCUGACUGAGAGCCCUGGGCAAGCUCCCAGCCUGAAGCCAGCGUUAGUUGACCAGCUGUUAGUGAGUCACCUGGGAAGUGAAUACCACCAGUCCACUGAUGCCGUGUGGAGCAUAGUCAUAUGUGGAUGUGAGAGUUGGACUAUAAUGAAAGCUGAGCGCCGAAGAAUUGAUGCUUUUGAACUGUGGUGUUGGAGAAGACUCUUGAGAGUCCCUUGGACUGCAAGGAGAUCCAACCAGUCCAUCCUAAAGGAGAUCAGUUCUGGGUGUUCAUUGGAAGGACUGAUGUUGAAGCUGAAACUCCAAUACUUUGGCCACCUGAUGUGAAGAGCUGACUCAUUUGAAAAGACCCUGAUGCUGGGAAAGAUUGAGGCAGGAGGAGAACGGGAUGACAGAGGAUGAGAUGAUUGGAUGGCAUCGCUGACUCAAUGGACAUGAGUUUGGGUAAAUUCCAGGAGUUGGUGAUGGACAGGGAGGCCUGGCAUGCUGUGGUUCAUGGGGUUGCAAAGAGUUGGACAUGACUGAGUGACUGAACUGAACUGAAGAUUCUGUAUUUGAUCCCUAAUUCUGACAUCAUUAUACUCUGCUAUGCUAACCUUUUCCUUUGGUUCAGCUAUGAUCUUCAUUCUUUUAUCCAACAAAAUUUAUCCCCAGAUUUAUUGAGAUGUAAUUGACUUAUGACAUUGUGUAAGUUUAAGGUGUACAGUGUGUUAAUCUGAUACAGUUGCAUAUGCCAAAUGAUAGCCACCUAAUACCUGAAUCACGUGACAUUACCAUUUCUUUUUUGUGUGUGGUGAGAAAAUUUAAGGCCUACUCUCAUAGUAAUUUUCAAGUAUGUAAUACAGUAUUGUUAUCUACAGUCACUAUACUGUACAUUAGAGCCCUAGAACUCAUUCUUCCUGCAGUUGGAAGUUUGUAUUCUCUGACUGACAUCUCCCUGUUCCCCACCCAAAUAUUUCUUCAGUGAAUAUUCUUAAUAGUUACCAGGUUUUAUAUUAAGUAUUCAGCAGUGAGGAAAACAGACACAACUAGUCUUCAUAGAACACAGGCUUAGGUUUGUAGGUGACUUCCAAAGUUCAGACCUGUUCAUCCAGUGGUCUAUUGGGCCAGUCUCCAGGAUCAACACUUGGAAAUUAUGUAGCAUAUUUUCAGUAAGUUUCACUACAAUGAUUCCAAAUUUCAAACUUAACAGCUUCUUUGGGCAACUCCUUCCCCAUGCCCUACUCUCCCGUUGUCCCCUGAUCACAGAUUCUCGCCCUUGAAACAUUGGCAAAAGGUUCCUCUACCUUGUUCUUCAAAUUCAUUCCCUCCUUAUUCCCAGAGCUGCUGUCCUAAUGAAGGUUUGUUCUUUUGCACUUGGAUCAUUGCUUUAAUAAACUAGCAGAC